CUUCGGGGGAUCAGCCGGCUCCUAAGCCAAUGAGAGGUGCUGCUGUCUCCAGGACACAGCUGAUAGGUUCUCACGCUGGUCCCUUCAUCAUCCAGACCACUCAUCUCCUCCCACUGAGACAUCAUACAAUACAGGUUAGAGUGUUAUGACAUCAUAUAAUACAGGUUAGAGGGUUAUGACAUCAUAUAAUACAGGUUAGAGUGUUAUGACAUCAUAUAAUACAGGUUAGAGGGU